rnacentral:rRNA from 1 species
AGCAGCCGCGGUAAUUCCAGCUCCAAUAGCGUAUAUUAAAGUUGUUGCAGUUAAAAAGCUCGUAGUUGAAUUUCGGGGUCAGUAGGUUGGUCAUGCCUUCGGUAUGUACUGGUCUCACUGAUUCCUCCCUCUUGAAGAACUGUAAUGUCAUUAAUUUGGUGUUGCGGGGAAACAGGACUGUUACUUUGAAAAAAUUGAGUGUUUAAAGCAGGCUCACGCUUGAAUACAUUAGCAUGGAAUAAUGAAUAGGACGUUCGAUCCUAUUUUGUUGGUUUCUAGGAUUGACGUAAUGAUUAAUAGGGAUAGUUGGGGGCAUUAGUAUUCAAUUGUCAGAGGUGAAAUUCUUGGAUUUAUUGAAGACUAACUACUGCGAAAGCAUUUGCCAAGGAUGUUUUCAUUAAUCAAGAACGAAGUUAGGGAUCGAAGACGAUCAGNUACCGUCGUAGUCUUAACCAUAAACUAUGCCGACUAGGGACUCGGAUAGAUUAGUUUUAAUUUUUAGGNGUACUCGUAUUCGGCU